rnacentral:rRNA from 1 species
UGAGGAAUAUUGGUCAAUGGACGGAAGUCUGAACCAGCCAAGUAGCGUGCAGGAUGACGGCCCUAUGGGUUGUAAACUGCUUUUGUAUGGGGAUAAAGUCAAUCACGUGUGAUUGUUUGCAGGUACCAUACGAAUAAGGACCGGCUAAUUCCGUGCCAGCAGUCGCGGUAAUACGGAAGGUUCGGGCGUUAUCCGGAUUUAUUGGGUUUAAAGGGAGCGUAGGCCGGAGAUUAAGUGUGUUGUGAAAUGUAGACGCUCAACGUCUGACUUGCAGCGCAUACUGGUUUCCUUGAGUACGCACAACGUUGGCGGAAUUCGUCGUGUAGCGGUGAAAUGCUUAGAUAUGACGAAGAACUCCGAUUGCGAAGGCAGCUGACGGGAGCGCAACUGACGCUUAAGCUCGAAGGUGCGGGUAUCGAACAGGAUUAGAUACCCUGGUAGUCCGCACAGUAAACGAUGGAUGCCCGCUGUUGGUACCUAGUAUCAGCGGCUAAGCGAAAGCAUUAAGCAUCCCACCUGGGGAGUACGCCGGCAACGGUG